rnacentral:rRNA from 1 species
AGUGAACGCUGGCGGUAGGCCUAACACAUGCAAGUCGAACGGCAGCACAGUAAGAGCUUGCUCUUACGGGUGGCGAGUGGCGGACGGGUGAGGAAUACAUCGGAAUCUACUUUUUCGUGGGGGAUAACGUAGGGAAACUUACGCUAAUACCGCAUACGACCUACGGGUGAAAGCAGGGGAUCUUCGGACCUUGCGCGAUUGAAUGAGCCGAUGUCGGAUUAGCUAGUUGGCGGGGUAAAGGCCCACCGAGGCGACGAUCCGUAGCUGGUCUGAGAGGAUGAUCAGCCACACUGAAACGGAGACCCGGCCCAGACUCCUACGGGGGGCAGCAGUGGGGAAUAUUGGACAAUGGGCGCAAGCCUGAUCCAGCCAUACCGCGUGGGUGAAGAAGGCCUUCGGGUUGUAAAGCCCUUUUGUAGGGAAAGAAAAGCAGCAGGUUAAUACCCCGCUGUUCUGACGGUACCCAAAGAAUAGGCACCGGCUAACUUCG